GCAUCACGUGGCCCGACACGUAGCCGUGGGGCUCCAGAGCGCGUGCGCGCGUCGAGCCCGGUCGCCACGCCCCUUCCGAGGGUCGCUCCGCCCCCGUCGGGCCCCGCGAGCGCGCGGUGGGGGAGGGGAGGGCCCCGGAGCGCGCCUGCGUGGGGCGGGGGCGGCAGCCGACUAGGGGCUGGGUCUGGCCGUUUAGGGCCGGGUCUUGGCCCGUCGCCCACGGUGCGGAGGGCUGGUGGGCUUUCCUUGGCCGUCGGGCCCGCCACGGCGCGGGUCUUGGCUGCGGGGCGGAGGUGGGGCGGGAGAGCCGAGGAUAAGAGUUUGAGGCUUUUCGAGGCGCGUGCCGCGGCGUCCGCCUCUGCGGGACUCUGCGCCGGGCGCCCUCGGCCGGCGCGCCCGGCUCCCGCUUUGUCGCCGAGGGAAGCACGCGCGACGCCCCUCCCGUCGCCGCCGUGGCUUCUUUCGGUGUUCGUGAUUUGCUGAGAGGCUGGAAAGCAGCACGGCGGAGAGGAGCCUUGCACUCGCCAGGCGGGAAGCCUGCGCGGACACGCGUGCGCACCCACGGGGCGGCGGGCGGGCGUGGGGGGUCCGGGCCACGCGGGCGACGCGCCUCUAGGGAAGCGAUCUUGUUGCACCUUCCCGUUAUUCUGAAAGCAAAUCGUAGCCAGACCCGAGCGCAGCGGCUUAGCAAAUAAUAAGGGGAGCGUCAGUCGUGCUCGAAAUGCUUCCUUCGCGAUGGCGUCAGUGUUCCGUGAGGGAAUGAAGCCGCAGUAGGAAAUAAAGAGGCUGUGCGCGUAGUCUGAAAAGCAGAAGUCAACAUUUUUACAGAUGAAGAAAGAAUACGGAGGCAAGAGGUCUUUCUCUGCAGUUUGGUGGAUUUCCAACAUUUAGACUUGUUUGGAAGAAUUUCCUCAGCUGCACCAAUGAAGUCCUUGAUCUAUAGAAGUCGGCAGUCCCUAAAUCUACGUCUGCAUUUUGUUGCAAAUCCUUUAUAACAUUCCAUUAAAAUAAUGCAGAGUUAUUUAAUAUCCAGUUGGCCAUCGUGAGAGUAAUUCGCGGCUGAGAUUUUGUUAAUCAUUCUGUCUUCUGACUUAACAGUGAACGUAGGUGAUUUUUUUUGUAAAAUGUUGCUUCACAUGAAUUGUGAGAAUCACCUCUAAGUUUGAAUUGUACUGAAGGCACUAUAAGAAUUUCAAAUGAACGCUGAGUAGCCAGUAGCCUUCUGGCCUUUUCGUUUAACAAGCACAGAGUUCGUUUUUAAAAUUAAGUUACUUUGACAGAGGAAAUGUAAUAGCCUUGGUAGACAACAUUAAAAAUGUAACUGUCAGAUGUUUUAAAGUCUCCAACAGCCGUAUCUGUUUUAGAGCCAUAGAAUAUUUACUUACUGAAUUGCCUGUUUAAAGAUGAACUUUCUAAAUGCAGGGAAUAGUAACUUGCAAAAAAGCUAUGGUCUCUAAGUAAUGAAGGCUGUUUCAGUACCUAGAAAAAUCAAAAUCAAGGUUUUGAUGCUGCUAGUGUAAAAGAUGCAAUCCCCUUCUUAAUGGCCUGCUUAUUUAUUAAGCUCCUAGGCACUAUGCUGAAUGCCCUACAUGCAUAUCUCGUUUAAUCAUCAGUACAACUUGGGCUUAGGUUAGACUGUUAUCCCC
rnacentral:lncRNA from 1 species